CAGCCGCCACGGUAAUACGUAGGGUGCAAGCGUUAAUCGGAAUUACUGGGCGUAAAGCGUGCGUAGGCGGCUUCUUAAGUCGGAUGUGAAAUCCCUGAGCUUAACUUAGGAAUUGCAUUCGAUACUGGGAAGCUAGAGUAUGGGAGAGGAUGGUAGAAUUCCAGGUGUAGCGGUGAAAUGCGUAGAGAUCUGGAGGAAUACCGAUGGCGAAGGCAGCCAUCUGGCCUAAUACUGACGCUGAGGUACGAAAGCAUGGGGAGCAAACAGGAUUAGAUACCCCCGUAGUCCCUGUCUCUUAUAC
rnacentral:rRNA from 1 species